rnacentral:rRNA from 1 species
UUUGACACCUUGACCUCAAAUCAGGUAGGAUUACCCGC